ACCCAUCACACUCACAGCUCUGGAAGACAGGCCAGUGCUCGCUUACAGACCGCGCCCCAACCUAAAGCAAAUACAAGCAACUACACACCACACAACAAAAACACUAACUCAGGAACCAAUCCCUGCAACAAAGCCCAGAGCCAACUCUGUCCGCAUAUCUAUUCAA